rnacentral:lncRNA from 1 species
CUGUUAAUUCUUUCAAAACCUUUGGAUGUUCAUGAAGAAAUUUAAUAGCCAAAGUUAUAGCCAAAGAGGUUGUCUCAAAGCUAGCAAAGAGCAACACAAACAUCAAAUCCAAAGCUAUUGUCUCAGUGAGAAUUGUGUCUUUACUUUGAAGUUCUUCUAAUACAUAAUCAAAGAAGUCACUUUGCUCUUUUCUUGGUUGUGAUUUCCUUUCCUCUAGCAUUCUCUUGAGCAUCUUCAAUAUCUUCUUUCUUCCCUGAUGAACACCUUCUAGAGAUAGUUCAAUCAUGACUUUGUAUAAAUUUAGUCAAACGUUGUUAUAACGAUAUUUCCGAUCUAUAUUUUUUAAUGUUAUAACAAAAUACUGUUACAGAGAACAUAUAAUAUAACAUAUUUUUAAAAAAAAAAAACUGUUUCUAAGGAAAUUGAUCAUUAUAGUGAAAUGAUCUUCUAGGGACUAGGGGAUGGUCAAAAUAUAUGCAAUUACGUACAUUUGUGAGAAUAUAAAAGUUUCUCAUUAACAAUAAAAUAGGAAGUAUUGUUAUAAGGUGAUAAACAUAUAGUUUUUUUGAAGCGUAUACUAAAGAUCUAGUAAGAAAAUAGUGUCAUAUAAACUGAAAUAGAUGGAUCAAUAUUGCUUGUUAUAAAGUUUGCUUUACUUUUUAUUACUAAAAAGUAACCUGAUUGACAAGAGGGAGUUGCUCGGGUGGUAAAUAUCCUCCAUUUUCAAUCCUAAGAUUUUGAGUUCGAGUUACCAACAGAGCAAAAAGAUAGGAGCUUUCAGGGGAGGGGUAAAAAAAUGAAGAAAAAAAAGUAACCUCAAGAUAUAAACAUUUUGACAUCAUUAGUGCAUAAAACGUAAACUUCAAUAAAUAUAGAAUUUAACUUAUAAAUACUGAUAAUGUAAUAAACUUUUACACGAUCAUUUUACUUUUAAUUUGUUAUAGUAAGUAAUCCAUUUUAUUUUCCAGGUUACUGAUCCACUUUUUAUCAUAGACUUAUUAUGAUAUUGUUAGUGCAUAGAAAUUAAACUUAAAAUACCUGCAAGCACUUGUAAUAGGCAGUUCCAGGAAAAUAUAGAGGGAAAGAUAUUAAUCCCUUUAUAAAAGCUACAAAAUUCUCAGACACGUUUCCUGUUGAGUUCUCAGAAUCAAAACUGAUAAGUUUCUUUCCAGUUAUAUCAAAUAUCAUCUGCAAAAAAAAAUAAAAAAAAGAUUAUAUUUAUUUAAAUUCAAAUAUAAUAUGAAAAAAACAUACAACCUCUUUGAGAUAUACAUUACGAAGCUAGAUAAAAAAAAAAUCAGUAUUAUUAUUAUUAUUAGUAUCUUACUAUCAUAGUGAAUUUCCAUGUAACAAAAUACAUAAAAGUCGAGUGACCAUCUGUAUAAUUACCUUCGCUGAUGCCUCCUUCAUCUCAAUGCUUGUUUGUCCUAACCAUCUCUUCAAAUUAUUAUUUGCAAUUUUUUCAACCUCAGGCAGCAUAUUUUUCAAACUUUCAGGGCCAAAAAGAUUUAGCACCAUGUUUUUCAAGUACUUGUACAUAAAACCAUGUAAUGAUCCAACAUUUUGCCUUCCAAAAAUCUCUGUGAAAGUAUAUGGAUACCAACUUUGAAACAAUUUUCCCUCUUGUUGGAAGAUAAAGUAAUUAAAAUUAGGAUCUGUGGAUACUAUGACUGGACGUCCCACCAAACUAGUUCGAAAUAUCGGUCCAUACCUGAUUCAAAAUUUAGAUAUUUUGAAUUUCGUGUUGAGAGAUCAAUAAAAACAUAUAUAUGGAUCUUUUUUUUUCUAUUUUUCUUUUGUUCUUUUGGUUACAUGAAUAAUUUGACCCCCACUAUGCACAAAAUAAAUUUUAUAGCUAAGUACGAACGUUUUUUUUCCACCCCACAUGGCUAGAAUUAAAGAAGACAAAUGUGUCCACCCUAUAAAUUUGAUACCAUCUCCUACAAUGAAAUUAAUAACCCAACCCUGUUUGAGAUAUUUUUUAAUAAUAUCUAGUCUUAUUCUUAUUUUUUUAAUGCUUGAGUGGUUUGAUUUUCCCAUCAAAGUUGAAAAAUAGAUACAUGACAUGUGUUUAUAUAUAGACCUCAAUUACUUAAUCAUUAUAAGUUGAACUAAUUUGAUAUAAACAUUCGAUACAGAUCAGCUUAAAUAAAAUCAUAAGUGACAUACACUAAUAUUAAAUUUGUUAAUUACCUUUGCAUCCUCUCCUUCACAAAAGGAGAAAUAUCAAAUGAUGUAUUUGGUGCAAAGAAUUGAAUAGUCUCACCAAGUAAUGGCCAACCCAUUGAACCUGGUGGGAGUUUUCCAUUGUUUUUAGGGUAUCUCAAGUUAUGUAUAAUGACAAUAACAAGUAAGGAUCCAAUAAUAUAAAUACCAAGUGACAACAUUUUCUUGAUAAUAUAUUGUGUGUAAAUUAAAGAGAUGGAAAUGUGGUGGUUCAUAAUUAGAGGAAAUGGGAGACUAUAAAUAGGCAGUGGAAUGAUGUACUAUUAUAUCUUUAGUUUUUUAAAAAAAAUUAGACACAUGCCUUUUAACUUGGUUUCAGAUGACAUUUAUGUCCUCCAACAUUGAAUAAGUACAAGUAGACCCUUAAACUUGUAUAAAGUUUAAUAAAUAGACACAUGCAUCAUAUGUGGCGUCCUACAUGACAUGCUACGUGUAUUAUGUGACGUAGGACAUGUGUGUCUACUUGUUAAGUUUUAUACAAGUUUAAGGCCUACUUGUACACACCCAAAGUUGAAAGACAUAGAUGACAGUUGAAACCAAGUUAAAAGGCACAUUUAUAUACCCUUCGGGGUGGUUCCGUGAUUUGGACUUGAAACUUCCAUGUUGGAGGUCUCAAUGUCGAAAGUCGAAACCCCUUGCCAGUGAAAGCAAGGGGUUUGCCUUUUGGGUCGAGCUCGUCAUACCGGGCUUGCUAGUGUGGUUAUCUCUCUAGUGUUUUUGCGAGUUAUUGUAUAAAAGCGAGGGUUUUACUUUGUUCGCACCCAAAGAAUAGCAAUUGCAAAUUUUUCUUGUCAUUAAAAAAACACAUUUAUAUAUGUGAUAAGAAAAAAAAAGUUAGAGAUGUUUAAAAUUUGUUAGCUAAUUGUCUUGUAUUUGACUUUUUUUAUUACGAGAAAUUUAAGGUGUAAUUGAUGGACUCCACGUGUCCUAAUUGUUCUUUUAAAAAAAAUCCACAAUUACCCCCAUCCACCCAACCCACCCCACAGCUUUUGAAUAUACUUUAAAAUUACUAUAGGGUUGGAGCACCGUGAGGAGUUUAAAGGGCAAAAAUGGAACUUUUCAAAAAUCACCAGGGUAACUCAAUUUAAAAUAUUGUUAUAAGCUAGCUUACGUACACUUCGAUUAUUUUAUCGGAUGCUUAUUAUCUCUUAUCCUUAUAUUAAAUUUAUAGAAGCCUACCCCUCUAAAGAUUAGAUGUGAGGAAAAAGGUUAUAAAUCUAUAGAUGGCAGGGGUAUCCAUGAUUUUUUAAAAAUAUAUCAAAUGAAUCGAUAAAAUUCAAAAAAAAAAUUUCUUUUGUAUUUGUGAUAUUUAAGUCAAAUAUAUACAUAAAAAAUUAGCAUUUUUUUAGUAAAAUGGUGCUCAACAAACAUAUAGUACUACUAUUUGUCAUACUUUAUUUGUUAUUAAAGCUUGAUAUUGUUUAAAUAAGAAACGAGACAUUCUAAUAAUAAUGUUACUCUUAUAAGGUAUUUUGAAAAUAAUUGAAUUGUACAAAUAUGGACUAAACUAAAUAUAAUGUUUGGAAAAUAUUUUAUAUUAUGCUACACGAAAUAUAUAUUUUCUCUCAAUAGACAAAAAACAUUAUUUUUCCUUUAAAGUUAGGUUUCUACACCACUCAAAUUGAGUAGUGGGCAGAAAUGAUUGAACAAUUAAGUAGGAUUAAUUGCUAUUAGCAGACCACACACUAUCAAAUAGGGCACGUUUAAUCACUUCAGAAUAACUUUAUAUUAAAUGUCUCUGUUUUAUAUAUCUGAAGUUUAUAUACAUCUAAUCAAAGUUUAAUUAAUUUUCCCGAAAUUUAGGCAUAUAUAAUUAAAGUCCAAUCCUUUUGUCCGAAUUUCAGCUACAUGUGGUUGAUAUCGGUCAUUUUUACCUUAAAUUUGUACACACACACAUAGAUAUAUAAAGUUCUAUUAUUUUUAUUUGAACUUAAGGUAAAAAUAUGUUAACUUCAGGUAAAUAUAAUCAAUGGAUAAAAUUAGCUAAUGUAGAAUACUACUCUUAUUAAUUACUCUUAAUAAUAGUACACCAACAACAAUAUACCUAUUGUAAUUUUACAAGAUAGAAUCUGAAGUGAGUAUACACAUAUCUUACUCUUGUGUUAUGGAGGUAGAUAGGUUAAUUUAAAAAAACUACAGACUUAAAUAACGCAAAUUAAAGAACGUACAUGAAGAAAUAAUAUAAUUACUCUUUAAAAUGGUAAUUUUAAAUAAUUACAAAACAUAACGAGAUUAUGAAAUUUUAUAGCCUUUACAUACAAGUGGUCUCCCUUACAGUUGCACCAAUGUUAUACAUACACAGUUUAAAAACACAUACAUUAAAUCUAGUUGACCAUAGAUACAAUUGAUGUCUUCACAUAUAUCCCACUUUCCGCUUUGAAAGCAAAUAAAUACAUAUAUAAUUGAUCACACAUACAUACAAUAUACAUUUACAUUCUAAUACUGUACCUACUUUUACCAAGUUUUGUUUUUAAUCGUUCUAUAAUUUGCUUGAUUAUUAAAAAGAUAAUAAUAUUAAUAAAGUUUUUAAAUUUAUUAUGAGUUAUGAUUAUAUAUAACAUAUUGAAAAAUUAAUUUUUAUAAUAAGAUUAUCUAAUUUGAACUAUAUAUUUAGCCCAAAACUAAUCUAACUUUAAAAUAUGCUAAAUUAAAUAAAUGAAAAUAGACUGAAUUAAUAAAUAAACUUAUCAAUUUUGACAGAUUAGGUUGAUCAUAUGUAAUAUUAGUAGUGUAGAUUGUAGAUUUCUAGUUUUGGUUAAUUAUUUCUGCCUAAUUAUUCUACCUCGAAUUAAUAUUGUUGUUGUUGCCAUUUUUGUCAAUUUAUGCCAAAUCAGCCUAAUUAUUAAUGAGCGGAAAUAAAUUGGGUUAAAAUAGAUUCAGCCCCAGCGCAGACUAAAAGUGCUCUCCGAACCGUGCUGGAUAGUCACCCAUCACACGGCUCUCAAACCCAACCUGUGGUGCACAGUAUAUAAGACUCGUGAUUCAGGCAAUCCAAUCUUCCGUGUGUAAGGCGGAAGCCGUUCUGGACCCGAAAAUGCCCGUUCGCUUGUCAUUGGGGAUCCCAAUCUGACUUGCUCGUGGUUUAUUAAUGUCGGGGUUGUUUUUACUUACCUUUCUGUCUAUGAAAGAAAUGAGGCCUUGGAGCUGAUCUGUCAGUCCACCGUUACCACAAACGCCAGGCAGGACUGGGAUCGCUGCCAACUGGGACUGCUCUUCAGUCUUCCUGAAUCACCGAGCGUGAGUCCUUCUGCUCGAGCGCAUUUUCUUGCCUUUAAGAGAGUAAAGGCUGUAUGCAUUACUGGAUUAAUUCGAAUUAAUAGUAAUAGAAACUAGGGUCCACGUAGACUAUUCAGAGGAGGUAUGCGAUAGGCUCCAAGCGCGAUUCUGAUUCUCAAUUUGGUUUUCUGUUCUGGAAUGAAUCUGUUCUAAAGAAAGACCUGCCUAUACUGAAGAGGGGCUGGUUCACGGUAAUGAAUGGUGGGAAGUUCCAGAACAGGUGGCUGGUAUACCACAAUAAUCAAACUUCCUUUUCUUUUUUUUAUUCGGAUCGGAUUUAUGUUCCAAUUUUGGUUAAUUAUUUCUGCCUAAUUAUUCUACCUCGAAUUAAUAUUGUUGGUAUUGCUAUUUUUGUCAAUUUAUGCUGGAUCAACCUAAUUUUUAAUGAACAGAAAUAAAUUUGGUUAAAAUAGAUUCAGCCAAUCUAUAUAAGUUACAUUAAUUAGCAUAAUCUAAAGUAGAAUUGAUUGGAGAAAUAGUAUUAACUUUGUAAUACAAUUGGCUAUAAAUUCAAUAUGGUAUAACUGAAUACCGUAUCAAAUCGAAGUUUAAAUUACCGUUUUCCGAAUUCCCAAACCGAAACUUAAAAAAUUUGAUAUUUGGUAUCUACUUUUAACUACCAAUUACUGAAUUACCAAACCCAAAAUUUGAGAAAUCCGAACCGAAUAUCAAAUGCCUACCCCUACUAAAUAGUCUCAAAAUUUCAAAUAUAAACUCCUCUCAAUGAUUCAAGUCUUUUUAUAUAUUACUCAUGUAAAACAAUAUACGUUUCUCAAUAAGUCAAAUUUUAAAAUCAAGCUUUAAAGAAGUUUAAAUUGCCGAACAUAGAAUCUAAGUUUCUUUUUCUUUCUCUAUUCCCAUUUUUCCCCCUCUUUUUCCAGAUCCAUUUAAGAAGGCCGAAUGGUCUUUUUUUUUUUGUAACAAAUAAUCGGUGAGUUAUUUUAGAUAAGGAAUUUUGACUCAAUGGAUAUUUUGUCUAAUUUUUCCAUCUAUUAUAAAUUGAUUUCAAUUUUUUUGUUUGUUAGUUAAAGGUAAAUUAAAUUUCUUUGCAUAAUAUUACUAUACAUUUUUUCACAUAUUUAUGUUGAUUGCAAAAAACGAAAAGAAAACUUAUCACUACAAGAAAAGUUUGAAUUACAUGGGGAUUUUUCUGGGGAUUAGUAUGAAAAUUUGCAGGAAAGUAAGUUUCCUACGGAUUAUCAUACUAAUCCCAGAAAAUCCUCAGGUAAUUCACACUUUUCUUGUAGUGUAUGAAACAAAAUAUAUAUGGUAACAAUCUUUGUAUUUUUUCAAGCAUUUUCUUUCUUUUGUAACGUAUGCUAGAAAUACUUGUGGAGCUGUUUCGUUUAGAUCAACUUUUUUGGUACGUCUAUGGACGAAUUUUAAUAUAUAAAUAAAAUCCUUCCGUUUUAAGAGAAAAAAACACCCAUAAAACCCUAUUCGAGUAGUGAACAAGGUGGAAUCAUAUUUUACACGACACUAAGCAAUUAUAUAAUUACCUUUAAAAUGCAUACCACUAAACUAUGAUCGAAUAAUAAGUGUUUUUAUAAAAAUUGAGUAUGACUACUUCUCUAAAUUUAUCCCUGCACCAUCUUCGUUUAAAUUUGUUUAUUUUACUGCUUUUUUUUUUACUAUUCUUUAAUUCUAUUUUGUCUAUGUUUAAUAUUACGAGAUUAAAAAAUAUUUUGAUACAAAAUAUUUGUUGAGUCAAAAUUUCUUGUUUUAAAUAAGACAAUUAUCAAUUCUUACGAAAAAAUAUGCUCAUAUAUUCAAUAUUUUUUUCAAUUGCAAGCAAAGUGCAAUUCACUCCUUUCCUUUUUCCCCUAAUAUCUUUCCUCUUCCGGUCGUUGAAGAAGCUGAACUAUUGUAAUGUGUAAAAUUAUAUAAUUAAUGUAAAUGAAUAUAUAUACACUAAUUAUAUAUUACAUAUACACAAUUUACAAUGUCGAUAUUUUACAUAUUGAUACAACUUUUUUUUGUCACAUAUACAGUUACAUAAACACCCCUUUAAUUUAUAUGACACUCAAGGAAGGUAAAAACUCAGUGUUUCCAAACUAUUUAAGUAAUAAGACAAAAGCAAAUGUAAGGUAAAUUCACAUGUCCAUGAUAUCAGUAGCGUAGCCAUAUACAGUGAAUGGGGUUACUUCUUUAAAAAAUAUAUAUAACACCUUUAAAAUAAGAAACUGGUGUGAUUGUUAUAUAGAUGAACUUUCAUAAUAUCGUAAAACACAAAAAAUUAAAAAAGAGAGAAGUAAAUAUAAAAUACAUUCAUAUUAGUAGAACAGCUCCCAUCUAACAUAGCAAUACUACAUAAGGUAAUAUUAUAGGCGUCGAUAGAGUAAUUUCUAGAUCGAUAUGCAUUUUAAAUGCAUUAUUCAUACAUAAACUAUGAAUUAACCAUAUUAAUAACAUAAAAAAACAUGCACUUAUAGAUAACAAAAUUAAAGGCUGUGUGCAUCAAAGGCGGAUCUACAUUCACAUUAGUGAGUUCAUGUUGCUUAAUAAUAACUUUUGCUCAACGUCUGUAUAUGAAUUUGCUGUUGCAAGUACCUUUAGUCAUAUUUUCCAGAGAUUUUAAUGUGGUAACCAUUUGGAAAUUGUAAACCUGGAGUUCGUACUAUAUCUCCUCCUUGAUUAUCUCCCACCUAAUGAUAAUGAAGAUUUUUAAAUUAAAGAUGUGUAUAUAAUGACCGUAUCACGCCUCUCCAUAUCGGGCAUAUUUUUAUAUAAAUUCUUUUCAAAUUCCUUUAAUCAAUGUAUAUAUUUGUAUCACUUACUUGUACUUGGUCACAAAGCAAUGGAGAAAGACAGCCAUUUGCACCUUAGCAAAGUCUGCUCCAAUACAAAAUCUCAUGCCACCUCCAAAUGCCAUAAAAUUCCUAGAUGCUCCAUUUAGAUCUAUUCCCUGAUAGCAAUUUCAACAUUUCAUUAUAAUUUCUAUGAAAAAACACUAAGAAGAUUUAUGACAAUUUCUUUUGUUAUAGCAUCGCGAGAUAGAGCGAAGAGUUCACAAGGAGAAGAGGUCGAGGUUUGUUGAUAAGUGGAAGUGUAGUGAAACUGUGAAAGUCGAUCCUCGACAAAAUCCAAAGAUGUUCAAAUUUAGUUCCAAUCUGGAUAUAAAAGUCAAGUUCAAUCAUUGAUAACUUUGUUUUUUGGUUGGAAAGUGCCUAGUAUAAUGUCUCAUUUCUUGUGAAUUUGUUUUUAAUUGUGAAAUGACCAUUUUACCCUUCCUCUUAGAUUUUCAUGCUUAGUUUGGGUUGAGGAAAUGGUUGGUGUGGUCCCAAAUGUGAUGGGUGUGUUUUUGGUGUUUUCGCCCCUUUUGAGUUGAGAUUUUUGAUAUGGUUGACUUUGGUCAACAUUAUGAGUUUCGAGCAUCGUAUGGGGAUUCCGUCAAUUUUAUUGAGUCCGAAACGUCGAUUUUUGUUUAUUAAAGUGAUCGGUUAGAGUCCCGAGACCUUAGGUUGUGAUUUGGAUAUUUAGGUAAAAAGUUGAAUUUUUGGCUUAAAUGAGUUUUGAGGGGUAUUUCAGUCAUAUCUAUCUUUGUUUUUUGCAAUCCAACAAUUCUGUUGGUUCCAAAACAUGUUUUAUGAUGAAUUUACACUUUUAGUUUGUGUUUAUAGGAUUCCGAAUGAGUUUCGAGGGUCAAAAAGAUGUUUUCAAGGUUGCUAGUGCACACGUUUCGUGGCAAACAAAUAGACUUUUAGCGACAAAAAAUGGGUUUUAGUGACGAGACAGCUGAGUUAAAUAUCUAUUCGAAUUGUUGCUAGUGCACACUUUAAGUGGCGAAAAAAUAGACUUGUAGCGAUGUAAAUGGGUUUUAGUGACGAAAUCACUGAGUUAAAUAUCUAUUCAAACCUAUUUAGUAUAUUUGACAUUUUGGGAGCUAGAAAAGUCGGUUUGAGGUUAUUUUUGAUGCGUUUUUAUUUCAUAAUCAUUGGGUAUGUAUUUCUAACCUUAUUUUACUAUUUUCUCAAGUCUUUCAUAUUUCAUGAUUUAUGUCCAUUAAGUUGAGAUUUUAAACCCUAAAGUAGAGAAAUCGAAAAUUGUUGAUUUGAAGGUCGAUUUGGAAUGAGUUUUCAUUGAUUUUCGGGAUUUAAGGUCCUUGUAUUGUGGGCAAACUGAUUUUGACAAAGUUUUUUUUUGAAAUUUCUCAUUUUUGACCGCAUUCCAAAUGUGGGUUUUGGGUUUUUUCUCCCAAAGUUUGAAAAGUAGUAAAUUCUUGAUUUAAAGCUCGAUUCUUACUUGUUUUUGAUGGAUUUUUCAACCAUGAACUCCUCUUGGCUGGCAGAACUUGAUUUUCAACUAAAAAACUGAUGUUACCCUUUUGAUUUUCGAAGUGAUUUUAAAACUAUUUUACCCGAUUUCAAAUCAUAUCAAUAUGGGUAUCAUUGAAGUACUCAUUUUGAUGAACUUUUUUAAUUUUUGAUGGGUUAGGAUCGUUUCGAUUAGCUUGUUGUUGUGGAUUUGCUCCGAUAGUGUUGUUCGGAUAAAGUUUUGGCCUUGAGAUAGGUUUGGCUAUCCUUCUCCUAGGCUGGGAUUGGGUAAUUGAUCUUUCUUAUGUCUUAUGCUAUGGGAUGGGAUAGUAGCAUGAUUUUGGGCUGUGAAUUGUAUUGUGCUGCUGUGCGGGGGCUUGAUUGUAUUGUGUUACCCGUGUGAGGGCUUAUAUGUGUUGUUUAGCCUAUGUUGAGGCCUUAAUUGUUGUUUUAUUUCCUUUGAGAGUAUAUGAUUCAUAAGUUGCCUUUAAGAUAGGCUUGUAAUGUUAUUUGACUUGUAAUCCCCAAGUGAGAGGCUGAGUUGGAAAUUUUAUUGUAAUGACCUGUUUCUGUCGUUAUAGAAAAGCCAAUGGGGAAAGAAUUGGGGCAGAAAACUUUUAAGUAGUGACUUGAAAAUUUCUAGCCUAGUCCAGAUUUGGACGAAAUCUGAGUCAGGUGAGGUCUAGGGAAAUAUGGUAAUGAAUGGGAGAUUUAAUUAUGAAUUAAAUCAUAUGAGUUGAUAGCCAAGACGUUAAGGAGCCCGUACGGAUUUACAGAAUUGAAUUCGGGCGAGUAGAACUCCUGAAACUGAUCUUGGAAUGAAAGGGUAGUUUUUUAACGUCAAGGAUUGAAGGUGUGUUGCAAAGUGGGAGCUUAGAACUCAAAUUCUGAGCUUUUGUCUUUGUACAAGCAGCCGGGGCGGGAUUAAUCCCGCCAAGGCGGGGCCGCUGUGGCAGGACAAUCAAGACUUAAAUCGGGAAAAAACCCUAAAAACGUUAUUUUCUGCAAAACUUCUUCCUUGAGAGCUAGGAGACGACCCAUGAACAGUUCUUGACAGUUUUCCACGUUUUCUAGCGCUAAAGAUAAGAUUAUUACUCCCCUAAUCCGUAAUUUGAUUCGUAGACCUUAGAAUCUUGGGUAAUUAUCAUUGGGGGAGGGUUUUGGCUUGAAGUUAAUGGUGGGAAAGCCCUAAUUGAACAAUAGGAUCUUGGGUUUGGCCAUGGAUUAUAGUUUUGUUAUUAUCCAGGUAAAUUAGGCCUUGUUUAUUGAUCCUUGCGUUAAAUUACUUAUUUUCGACCAAGAACAAGCGGAAAGAAUCCGAAAAGGGAAGGUUCAAGCGUCUUAAGAGGAUUCAAGCUUGGUUUCGAGGCAGGUGAUGGUUUGAUUUCCUGUUUGUGUGAUAUAUACCGGUUAAUUGCUUCAUUGUAUGCAUGCAUGUGUGCGAAUAAGGAAUGUAAACCGAAUCUAAUGCAAAUAAGUAUAUGUAUAUGCACAAUUACAUGCCAUGAACCUAUUACUUGAUUGUAUGACUGUGAGCAUUGUUCAUUAUGAAUGUGAUUGCAAUUGUAGUUGUGUUGACUGGAUCGGGUGUCAUGUUUCGACACAUAUAUUGGAUCAUGUUUCACGUUCUGACACGUAUAUCGGAUUAGGUGUCACGUUCCGACACUUAUAUUGGAUCGGGUGUCACAUUUUGAUACAUGUAAAUUGGAUCGGGUGUCACGUUCCGACACAUGUAAAUUGGAUCGGGUGUCGCAUUCCGACACACUAACAGUUUGGGUGUGGGUUCAAUGAGAGAACCAUUGUUGAUUAUUAUGUUUAUGUCCACCUGUCAUUAAUAUUGGGAAACUAUAUGUUGCUCUGAAAUGUUAAUUGAACUAUGUAUUCUGUAUAUGUGUGUUUACUGUGUUGUAAUUGUCUGCUUGUAUUUCGCUUACUGGAGUAGCCGUGUGAUCCUACCAGUACACUAUGGUUGUGUAUUGAUACUAUACUUUCUCAUUCUUUGUUGAGUACAGGGUAUCUUCAAGAGGCUACUGAUUGACCUCAGCUAGGAGAUCACUGAUCGAGAUCGAAUUCAAGGGUGAACCAGUUCUUCCAGGCUGCCAUGUAUCCUUCCUUGUUUAGUCCACUCUUUUCGGACUCAAAUUAUUUAGUUAGACUUUGCUUAUGUUAGUUUAGGGAUUGCAACCCUUUUUCUUAGACUUGUUGGUUUUCAGAGUUUUGGUACAAUGAGUUUCAAUUUUUAGGUGUAGAACUUCCGCAAUAGUUAUGUUUAGUUGUUUUAUUAAACCUUUGGAGUUUAUGGGAACUCCGUUUUAUCCAUCAUUUAAACCUGCUUUCGUAUCUUUAAAUGUUCUAGUUUUCGUUAAUUUGAUUAGUUGAGUUGUAGUAAUAGUUCUCCCACCGGAGGGUUAGUGUGGGUGCCAAUCACGACGGUCUGGGUCGUGACAUUUAUAAUGCUUUGAUUAAACGAAAUGUUUUUUAAAUGGAAUUCACUUAUUUCUAAUGAACUUUUUCCCACUAUUUUUCAUCUGAGGGUGUAUAUCAUGAUCAACUGAGUUUUGAGAAAUUUAGACUGUUGAUACAUGUUGAGUUUGAUUAUUGAUUCCAUGUUAUAUAUGUGUUGUGAUUCAUCCAUCCUUAUUCAUCAUAUCAUGUUCUUUGGAAAUUGGGAAAAAUAUGGAGAUUCCUUUUUUGAAAGAAAAUGAGACAUUUUAUAUAUCAUUGACCACAUUGAGGUGACAAGUUGAUGAAAUAUUGAGAUUGUAAUUUGGUAUAUGGAUUACGAGUCCCCCAUGUGUCCUUGUAUUGGAGCCUUAGCUCGACAGGGUGUGCGACAGCCUUGAUUCCACCGUACCACCACAUUAUUGCAUCAUCUCACUACAUUGCAUUAAUCAUUUGAAUUGCUUGAUUUGUCUGUGACAUGAGAACUGUUGUGACCUUAUGUUUUACUUUACUCGUGCAGUUCAUGAUAAAUUUGUGGCACAUAUCCCUAAAUGAGACUUUUCUGUAUGCAGGUGGAAGCAUUCCUAAGUAUAUUUCAUAAGUUGAUUAAGUCCUUUUACUCAGUCGGUCGAGUCUACUGAGUACUUGUGGAUUGUACUCACCCCUACUUCUGUAUCAUUUUGAUGUAGAUUCUAGUCAGGAUACUACCCGCGGUGGCUGAUCGUGGCUAGCCUUGGGGAUCUUUUCAGAGUGGUGGUGAGAUCCUAUUCCCGGAACACCAUUAGUUUUAUCCUUUAUUUUCAGUCUUUGUUUCUUUUCGAAUACUUGUGAUGUGUUUCAUACUCUAAAGUUGUAUUAGAUGUUCUUUAUACUUAUGUUACCAGGUUUUGGGAUAUUCUUUGUUGUUCUUUGCUAUCAUUUGUGUCCCGACUUUCCUUCGGGAGUCUCGUGUGUGUGUUAUUUUCAACUUACACACUAGUUUGGAGUUUUCGAGGUGUGUGUCAUCUUGACCUCGGCUUUUGGGUCAUGACACCUAGGUCCUUUCCACUUUUUUUAGUCUCUUCAAUCACUUUUUUAACUUUUCUAGUAUCAAUUAAUUCAUUCGAGAAUAUGAGUUGUACUGAGUAAAUUUGAGUCUUAUAUCUUAUUCCUGAAAAGUUUUUCUCUUCGGUCUUGUCUACUAUCUAAGUGGUUUCUCUCUUUACAGCAUGUUGGUGUCAGGGAAGGUUUAGCACCUCUUUACUAGUUAGCAAAAAAAAAAUCUAGAAAUUUUAUGUGUCUUCUUGAGUGAAUGAAAUGUGAAGCACGAACGCGGUUAGUUAGUGAACCAUAACGGAGCUAAGAAUGCAACAUUCAGAAUUCAACAAGUUAUAUAUACAUCUGAGUUGUGAAAACAACCUCUUGCAGACAUGUAGGGUAACAUUGCGUAUAAUUAAUUUUGGUGGACCAACUCUUUCCUAAAUUUCGCACAUUUCAGUUGAAAAAAAUAUUAAAAAUUUUAAAGUUUUUCUUCAACUUGAAAAUAUUUUUUUUAAAAUUUAGAGUGAGAAGUCAAAAUAAUAUAUAACCAAAUAGAUGUUUAAUUUUUUAAUUUUUUUUAUAUCAAAUCAUUAUAUAAUUUUCCGAUAAAGUACUCACCUCCCAUCUCCAUGGAUUGAAUUGAAGUGGAUCCUCAUAUUUGGCAGGAUUUAAGUGGACAGCUGGAGGACACACCAUUACUGCCCAACCAGCUGGAAUGGUAUAUCCUGCAUCUCACAAAAAGUUUAUUUUAGAAAUUAAUCUUAUUCCAAUGAUACAGUAAUGAAUUUUUGCACAAUCAGUAAUGUUCUCUUAAUUUCAGUAAAUAUACACAAUUUAUAGAAGGAUAUGUAUGCACCAUUUGUUGGGAAAAAACAGUUAUAUAUGCUCCCUUGAGUAAUCAAGGGAUACCUCGCACCUUCCCUCAGUUAAAUUCUUGGGAAAAGAAUCUGGAAAAUACUUUAACUUUGGUCGAAAUUGUUGUUGCGAUAUCAAACAUUGGAAAGGAAGUUUUACCCCCUGUACUAAUUAAUAGUAUAUUUUAAAGGUAUAAAUAUGUCUACAUGGACAUCCAAAUCUUGAUUACAUACCUUUGAAGUUGACGUCUUGAAGUGCUUUUCUGAAAAUCAAAGGCGCAAUAUUUGCCAAUCUGACUGUUUCAUUGAUAAACUACAUUUUUUCAAUGAAAUUAAUUAAUUUAUGAUUAUAUAUUUAGACUUGGAAGGGACAAUAUUAUAAUUUAGAUUAAAUACCUGAAAUGUGAACUUCAUUGAUUUAUACUCUUUCCAUGUAAGUCCAUAAGAUGCAUUUCCCCUUCUUCUAAUUAUUGCCUCAUGUUCCUCCUGAAAAACAUUUGAGGAGUGUUUGAUUGUUGUUUAGAGAAAUUAUUGUAACACUUAUUAUAAAAAGUUCAAAUUCUGAAUCCGACUUUGUCAAGUAAGUGCAUAUGUUGUUCAAUUGAUGAAGAAGAUUAUGGUUUCACUUACUGUUAAUUCUUUCAAAGCCUUUGGAUCUUCAUGAAGAAAUUUAAUAGCCAAAGUUAUAGCCAAAGAGGUUGUCUCAAAGCUAGCAAAGAGCAACGCAAACAUCAAAUCCAAAGCUAUUGCCUCAGUGAGAAUUGUGUCUUUACUUUGAAGUUCUUCUAAUACAUAAUCAAAGAAGUCACUUUGUUCUUUUCUUGGUUGUGAUUUCCUUUCCUCUAGCAUUCUCUUGAGCAUCUUCAUUAUCUUCUUUCUUCCCU